rnacentral:tRNA from 1 species
GCGUCCAUAGCUCAGCGGGAGAGCGUUGCGUUGACAUCGCAAAGGUCAGAGGUUCAAUCCCUCUUGGACGCACCA